AAAACAACUGCCUGUGGACGAUGCAUCAGUGGAAUGGUGAGUACUGUCCUCAAGGGCGUGCAGCCAAGGCAUGCACGGCUGUGUUUCUUCCUACCUGGCAAAGCUAGGAACUAUCAUGGAGAGUCCAUUGGCCCAAACACUGCUUAAACCAACAUAGCCUUAAGGAUGUGAAAAUCAUUGUGUUGCUGAUAAAAUUUGUGACUGAUAGUAAGUAUUAAAUCGAAUGCCUCCCUUCUCAGUUCUGUUCUGGAGGGAGAUAAAUUUUUAAGAGACAGGGUUAAAUCUGCUCAAUCACAAAGGAAAACCAUGACAUGUUGUACAUGUGCACGUAGCAUUGGCAAUCAAACCCAGGGCCUUCAGUAUGCUAGGCUUCAUCGCAGGCCUUGUACAGGCUUUGUACAUGAUAGAUCCCUAUCAAGACGUUGUACAGACAGCUGGGCAGAUUGCUGUUCAUUGCAAGAACAGUCAGGUGUAGAGAAAAAUAUUUGGAAGUCUGAGAAAAGUAGAAAUGCUGAGGAAGACACGCAAGGCAUGGUAUGGGCACUCCCCGAAGGCAGGCAUUCUCAGGCCAGAGCUCUGGCUUCCUAGUGUAUAGCAGUAACUGCACCCCCACUGUCAAAGAGGGGAAUGAUAAUACCAGAAAUGAGGGGUGUGGGUCUGGGAUCCAGCACCAGGAGAGACCACUGCUUACAACGGUUUUCAUGAAAGAGGUAUGCUGAUUGGGAUAGAAUUCUUUGUGUCUGUGGUGACUUGGCCCUAUGCUCCUGUAUAUAUGCAAUACUUACACAGUAAUUGAAAUC
rnacentral:lncRNA from 1 species